rnacentral:rRNA from 1 species
CUGGCUCAGAUUGAACGCUGGCGGCAUGCCUUACACAUGCAAGUCGAACGGCAGCACGGGGGCAACCCUGGUGGCGAGUGGCGAACGGGUGAGUAAUACAUCGGAACGUGUCCUGUAGUGGGGGAUAGCCCGGCGAAAGCCGGAUUAAUACCGCAUACGCUCUACGGAGGAAAGGGGGGGAUCUUAGGACCUCCCGCUACAGGGGCGGCCGAUGGCAGAUUAGCUAGUUGGGUGGGGUAAAGGCCUACCAAGGCGACGAUCUGUAGCUGGUCUGAGAGGACGACCAGCCACACUGGGACUGAGACACGGCCCAGACUCCUACGGGAGGCAGCAGUGGGGAAUUUUGGACAAUGGGCGAAAGCCUGAUCCAGCAAUGCCGCGUGUGUGAAGAAGGCCUUCGGGUUGUAAAGCACUUUUGUCCGGAAAGAAAACCUCCGCCCUAAUAUGGUGGGGGGAUGACGGUACCGGAAGAAUAAGCAC